AGGCAUGGUUCCUCUAUAUGGUGGGGCAAAAAACAAAGCGAAUUAAGUGUUUUCCUAUGAGAAAAACAACUCCCGAUUCAAAGGUAGGUAUAGGAUAGAGCUCAAAUAAAUAGUGUAGUUGGAUCAAAGAGAAAGGGUAUCACAUGAAGUGAAUGAUUGGUAGAAGAUUUUGAAUGAAUGUAGGUAGUGAAUAGUGAAUAAUGGAAAUGAAUGGAGUGAUAGACAAAAAUAAUCAAAGUAGAAAGAAUUGAAUGUAAAAGUGACUCAAGGGUAUGGUUU
rnacentral:lncRNA from 1 species